rnacentral:rRNA from 1 species
UACGUAGGGGGCAAGCGUUGUCCGGAUUUAUUGGGCGUAAAGAGCGUGUAGGCGGCUUGGUAGGUCCGCUGUGAAAACUCGAGGCUCAACCUCGAGAUGUCGGCGGAAACCACUUGGCUAGAGUCCGGAAGAGGAGAGUGGAAUUCCCGGUGUAGCGGUGAAAUGCGCAGAUAUCGGGAAGAACACCUAUGGCGAAGGCAGCUCUCUGGGACGGUACUGACGCUGAGGAGCGAAAGCGUGGGGAGCGAACAGG